CCUACGGGCGGCAGCAGUGAGGAAUAUUGGUCAAUGGUCGGGAGACUGAACCAGCCAAGCCGCGUGAGGGAUGAAGGUACAGAGUAUCGUAAACCUCUUUUGUCAGGGAACAAAGGCGGGGACGUGUCCCCGGAUGAGUGUACCUGAAGAAAAAGCAUCGGUUAACUCCGUGCCAGCGGCCGCGGUAAUACGGAGUAUCGGAGCGUUAUCCGGAUUUAUGGGGUUAAAAGGGUGCGCAGGCGGUCUGUUAAGUCAGCGGUCAAAGCCCGGGGCCCAACCCCGGCCCGCCGUUGAAACUGGCAGUCUCGAGUUGGAGAGAAGUAUGCGGAAUGCGCGGUGUAGCGGUGAAAUGCAUAGAUAUCGCGCAGAACUCCGAUUGCGAAGGCAGCAUGCCGGCUCCACACUGACGCUGAGGCACGAAAGCGUGGGUAUCGAACAGGAUUAGAUACCCCUGUAGUC
rnacentral:rRNA from 1 species